GAGUUUGAUCCUGGCUCAGAUUGAACGCUGGCGGCAUGCUUUACACAUGCAAGUCGAACGGCAGCACAGGGAGCUUGCUCCUGGGUGGCGAGUGGCGAACGGGUGAGUAAUGUAUCGGAACGUGCCUGGUAGUGGGGGAUAACUACUCGAAAGAGUGGCUAAUACCGCAUGAGAUCUUUGGAUGAAAGCGGGGGACCUUCGGGCCUCGUGCUACUGGAGCGGCCGAUAUCAGAUUAGGUUGUUGGUGGGGUAAAGGCCUACCAAGCCUGCGAUCUGUAGCUGGUCUGAGAGGACGACCAGCCACACUGGGACUGAGACACGGCCCAGACUCCUACGGGAGGCAGCAGUGGGGAAUUUUGGACAAUGGGCGCAAGCCUGAUCCAGCAAUGCCGCGUGCAGGACGAAGGCCUUCGGGUUGUAAACUGCUUUUGUACAGAACGAAAAGUCUCUGGCUAAUAUCUAGAGAUUCAUGACGGUAC
rnacentral:rRNA from 1 species